CGAGUUCUCGAUGUGAUUGCAAAGGUGCUUGCAUCUUGAUUUAAUUUUGAACGAGUGGCGGACGGGUGAGUAACACGUGGGUAACCUGCCCUUAAGUGGGGGAUAACAUUUGGAAACAGAUGCUAAUACCGCAUAAAUCCAAGAACCGCAUGGUUCUUGGCUGAAAGAUGGCGUAAGCUAUCGCUUUUGGAUGGACCCGCGGCGUAUUAGCUAGUUGGUGAGGUAACGGCUCACCAAGGCAAUGAUACGUAGCCGAACUGAGAGGUUGAUCGGCCACAUUGGGACUGAGACACGGCCCAAACUCCUACGGGAGGCAGCAGUAGGGAAUCUUCCACAAUGGACGCAAGUCUGAUGGAGCAACGCCGCGUGAGUGAAGAAGGCUUUCGGGUCGUAAAACUCUGUUGUUGGAGAAGAAUGGUCGGCAGAGUAACUGUUGUCGGCGUGACGGUAUCCAACCAGAAAGCCACGGCUAACUACGUGCCAGCAGCCGCGGUAAUACGUAGGUGGCAAGCGUUAUCCGGAUUUAUUGGGCGUAAAGCGAGCGCAGGCGGUUUUUUAAGUCUGAUGUGAAAGCCCUCGGCUUAACCGAGGAAGUGCAUCGGAAACUGGGAAAACUUGAGUGCAGAAGAGGACAGUGGAACUCCAUGUGUAGCGGUGAAAUGCGUAGAUAUAUGGAAGAACACCAGUGGCGAAGGCGGCUGUCUGGUCUGUAACUGACGCUGAGGCUCGAAAGCAUGGGUAGCGAACAGGAUUAGAUACCCUGGUAGUCCAUGCCGUAAACGAUGAAUGCUAGGUGUUGGAGGGUUUCCGCCCUUCAGUGCCGCAGCUAACGCAUUAAGCAUUCCGCCUGGGGAGUACGACCGCAAGGUUGAAACUCAAAGGAAUUGACGGGGGCCCGCACAAGCGGUGGAGCAUGUGGUUUAAUUCGAAGCAACGCGAAGAACCUUACCAGGUCUUGACAUCUUUUGAUCACCUGAGAGAUCAGGUUUCCCCUUCGGGGGCAAAAUGACAGGUGGUGCAUGGUUGUCGUCAGCUCGUGUCGUGAGAUGUUGGGUUAAGUCCCGCAACGAGCGCAACCCUUAUGACUAGUUGCCAGCAUUUAGUUGGGCACUCUAGUAAGACUGCCGGUGACAAACCGGAGGAAGGUGGGGAUGACGUCAAAUCAUCAUGCCCCUUAUGACCUGGGCUACACACGUGCUACAAUGGAUGGUACAACGAGUUGCGAGACCGCGAGGUCAAGCUAAUCUCUUAAAGCCAUUCUCAGUUCGGACUGUAGGCUGCAACUCGCCUACACGAAGUCGGAAUCGCUAGUAAUCGCGGAUCAGCACGCCGCGGUGAAUACGUUCCCGGGCCUUGUACACACCGCCCGUCACACCAUGAGAGUUUGUAACACCCGAAGCCGGUGGCGUAACCC
rnacentral:rRNA from 1 species